UGAAGAUCUGUUUGUAUGUGGUGCAGUUAUUGCUCCUAUCACCUCUUUCCAGCUACACUCUGCAGUGCUUACUGAACGUUACCUGGGGUUGCCAUCACAAGAAGGAUCAUCCUACAUGGUGGCCUCUGUAUUAAA